AGUGAACGCUGGCGGUAGGCCUAACACAUGCAAGUCGAACGGCAGCACAGUAAGAGCUUGCUCUUACGGGUGGCGAGUGGCGGACGGGUGAGGAAUACAUCGGAAUCUACUUUUUCGUGGGGGAUAACGUAGGGAAACUUACGCUAAUACCGCAUACGACCUACGGGUGAAAGCAGUGGAUCUUCGGACCUUGCGCGAUUGAAUGAGCCGAUGUCGGAUUAGCUAGCUGGCGGGGUAAAGGCCCACCAAGGCGACGAUCCGUAGCUGGUCUGAGAGGAUGAUCAGCCACACUGGAACUGAGACACGGUCCAGACUCCUACGGGAGGCAGCAGUGGGGAAUAUUGGACAAUGGGCGCAAGCCUGAUCCAGCCAUACCGCGUGGGUGAAGAAGGCCUUCGGGUUGUAAAGCCCUUUUGUUGGGAAAGAAAAGCAGCAGGUUAAUACCCCGCUGUUCUGACGGUACCCAAAGAAUAAGCACCGGCUAACUUCGUG
rnacentral:rRNA from 1 species